UGAUCUCUCCAACCGACCAGCAGGUCC
rnacentral:piRNA from 1 species